AUUGAACGCUGGCGGCAGGCCUAACACAUGCAAGUCGAACGAGUGGCGGACGGGUUAGUAAUGUCUGGGAAACUGCCUGAUGGAGGGGGAUAACUACUGGCAACGGUAGCUAAUCCCGCAUACCAUCGGAUGUUCCCAGAUGGGAUUAGGGAGUAGGGUGGGUAAAGGCGAACCUAGGCGACGAUCCCUAGCUGGUCUGAGAGGCUGACCAGCAACAUGGUAACUGAGACACGGUCCAGACUCCGACGGGACGCAGCAGUGGGGAAUAUUGCACAAUGGGCGCAAGCCGGAUGCAGCCAUGCCGCGUGGAGGAAGAAGGCCUUCGGGUUGUAAAGUACGUUCAGCGGGGAGGCGUUACCCGCAGAAGAAGCACCGGCUAACUCCGUGCCAGCAGCCGCGGGAAUAC
rnacentral:rRNA from 1 species